AAAUACUUGUACUAAGGAAUAAUUCGGCUCUAAAAUUCCUCUCUGCAAAUCAACGAGUGCGCAAACACCUACACACAUUACAAAGUGGACACGGUUGACCGCCACGAUGAAAUAUUUGGCUCUGGCUUUGCUGUUAUGUGCUUCACUGUCAAAUGCGGCCUGCUACUUGGCAUGCUGUAGGAUCUCAAUGGAGGAACAGUCGAUGUGAGGAUUGUGGUUGCAGUGGAUGUUGCACUGCGUAUUCAAUCCCCAAAAGCUUCCCUGACUGCUGUGUGUCAGUAUUUGACCCGAAGGCAUGUGAAUACAUAGUGCACAUGAAGGAUUACCCAUCUGUGCUCUGUCCAAUUUUUUCUGCAGUAGGAAAAUGAUUAUGGUCUGAAACUCUGAAGCAUUUUCUUUUCUUUCUUUUUUUGGUUGUUGUUGAACUGGGAAGAAAGAGAGGAUCCCUCACUGGCUUCCCACAAUAACACCGCCUGUUUUAUUAGAGAAAACAUGACGAAGCAAGAAGCACAGCUGCUAGAAAUUGGAAAUGAAAUACUGCAACAAAUUAACUUUCAAAUAAAU